CGGGCACCUGCAACGAAGACAGGCCCACACUCAGAACAGAUCUGCCUGGGUCUGACUCUCGCUCCUCUACUCAUUACACACGAGAUCUUGGGCAAGUCACUUAGGUUUUGUGCCUCAGUUUCCCCACCAGCAAGACAGGGCUAACAUCGGUCCCCAUCUUGGGGGGUGGUUAGGAAAAGUCCAUCAACCAACAGGUGCGAUGGCGGCAGCUGAGACCCCCGCCCGUGCCCUGUGAGCGCUGCGCAGAUGCCGGCCGUCCGGCACGAGCAAGAGCUCACAAAACCCAAGUGAAACCACAGACGCUCUCGUUAGUUUGGGAGAAGAGCAAGGUGGAUGGUUUUGGUCACAUUGCGACCAUGAGAAAGAAAAAAUACAAUCCUCCCCUAGCCUUCGGGGUCCGGACAAGCUCCGGCGAAGCUACUCUGCGAAGAUACGUUUAUUUCCCUCUUCCCCGAGGGGAUCUGCUCAGCCUGUCGUGGUCAGCAGCCGCGCCUGCCAACGCGCCCACUCAACGCCAUCGCCUUCCAGCAUGGUUUUAGAAACACGAGCUGGUGAAAACGGGAAGUGGAUGAAUUCUGGGCUCUUGGUCAGUGACGUUUUUGAAAAAUGGCCCACGUCAAUUAAAAAAAAAAAACAACAACUGUGUUCCCGAAGCCUGCAAAGGCCAUGUUUCAAUCUUGCCAUAACCACGAACAGUGCGUGGACCUCACACUCCUUUUCCUGGGGUUUCUGGCGUGGCACGCACGUCGGACUCCACAGUGAAGAGGGUGCGUGCCAGCCGUCCAGGGAGGUGCUGAGCGUGGAUUCCCAACACGCUCAUUACUGGGAUGUAUGAACUGGGGACGCAGCCAGCUUUGUGUCCGCGAGCCAAGGUGUUCUUCUCUCUGCGCUGCCCUGGAGAGCCAUCUCUCGGGGGCUCAUGGGCUCUGUCCUCUGCCUACUCUGUCCCCUGUCCUACUCCAUGUUCUCAACAAUGUUGGAUAAACACAUGUAAAUUUCCCACCACGCAGGAGAGGGGGGGUUUGACCCCUGGACAUAUGAAGCUGGGAGCCAGCCGAUCUGCUCAGUGCAGGAGGAAAAUAUUAGACCGUCUUGAUUUUAAAACACUCAGCCUUUAAGAUCUCUUUCUGAUGUGUAGGACAUAGUGCAUACGCUUCUCAGUCUGCUCCGGUAACCUACUAUCUGCCCGGCACUGUCCCAGACACUGGGGAAGUCGCUGUGAACCACGAUGGCAAUUAUCGCUGCCCCCAUGGGCUCCAUACAGCACCGCUCAGCUACCCACAAGCGCACACACCUACAAGUCUUCAGAGGGCGCUGAAAGCAUUUUUCCUUUUAACCCAGAAGGACUCACACACGAAAAGGUUCUGAGACCAAUGCUCGUAUCACAGAAUUAGAAUAUUUUGGUACGAUCCCACCAGUCUGGGCGGCUGAGUAAAAUAACGAGACAGGCAUUAGCCACAUCACGUGCAGAACUGCUCGCUUACACUCAGGGCCCCACCGGGACAGUGGGGACAUCUUCUGAGCAGUUGGUAACAUGCAAAUACGUGGGGAUUCCUCGAAAGGUUCGAAGGAUGUGGCUGUUUACAGAUCACAGACCGUGGCCAGUCUGGGGCUUCCGAUGGGUACGCAGGGGCGGGAGCAUCCCGGUGCCCAUGCGGAAAGGAGGGGCAGUGCUGGGGCUGCUGCCUCGAAGCCCGAUGGGGAGAGGACCGGGGUUUCUCGUGGCAUCAUCACAGACGGAAAGCAGAGCCUGCACGAGAAAACCUUCCCGGCAAGUUCACGACUGUCCGGAACAAGAGAGGGCCCGUGCGAUGCAGACAUACGAACCUUUAGUGAGGGGGUGGUGAGGGAAGUAGGCCGGGGGGCCUGGGGGGCCGCGGUCACCCGCUUCUCCCUGGAGAAAGAGAAGAGAGCAGAAGAAUGGGGGACCCGCCUUGUGGCAUUCUGGAACGUUCUGUGAAUUUGCAGGGACUAGAGCUGACAGUGGGCCACUGGCUGGGGCCCCGUCUCCUCGGGGCCGUGGGGAAGUGAGGUCCAGGCCACCCGCGGACACGAGCCGGAGGCAGCAAGAGGCAACAGGGGUGGGCGGGGUGUGAUGCCAUGAGACCCCGAUCUAAUUCCAGCUGGAGGGCAAGACCCAAACCUUCUCGAGUCUCCCAGGGCCCCGAAGGCCUAACCACUGAACAGCCCUGUCCUCAGCAGACAGACCCCUCCCUGAGCAGGGAAGUCCCCCCCGCCCAGCUGGGUCCCCGUUACCAGACCAGCGGCACCCGACCUGGUCCCCAGGUGACUGAGUUUCUCUGCCCUGCCGGCCCACGAAUUAUUCACACAAGGUAACCGUGAUCUCCCCGGGGACUGGGGAUGCCCCGCCCUCUUGUCACCGGGAAGCCUGCUCCCACGGCCCAUUCUGUUCCCUCUGCCCUGGGCUGUGACUUCCAUGCACCCCUGUGGGGCACGCAACCUUGUGGGCCCACAACACCUGUGACUAAUA